CUGAAGAUGUUUUGGUUCUUUUCAUACCCCAUGGCCUGACUACGGGCAUCUUCAAAAUGACACCUUGACAUUUUUCUGGAACAUGGCAUUAAACACUUCCUCGUGUUUCCCAGCAAGGAUCGCAGCAUUUCCUGAACCAAUGGGGAAAGUUUGACAGAAAUUCCAUGAAACAGAGGAGCUCUCCCGAUGCCAAGGAUUUACGAUUACAGGUGGCCUCACGCAUCGAAUCAAGUGUGCCAUUACCCUCACUCCCAUGAACCUGUCUUUCAGCACGAUCCACGACAGCAAGAAGACAAAGGCUUUGUUACAACAGAACAGAGCAGAGACAUCCGUGGCUGUCAGCUUCCUUAAAGCCAGUAAAUACAGCAUUUUCAAGACAGAAAAAAAUGAAGAAAGCUUCCGUGGUGACCCCAAACUGGUAAAAUAAGUAAAUAAAAAAUCAAACUAUGGACUCUGAGAAACAAACUGAGGGCUUCAGAGGGGAGGGGGUGGGGGAAUGGGAUAGACUGGUGAUGGGUAGUAAGG